AUUGAACGCUGGCGGCAUGCUUUACACAUGCAAGUCGAACGGUAACAGGCCGCAAGGUGCUGACGAGUGGCGAACGGGUGAGUAAUGCAUCGGAACGUGCCCAGUCGUGGGGGAUAACGCAGCGAAAGCUGUGCUAAUACCGCAUACGAUCUAUGGAUGAAAGCGGGGGACCGUAAGGCCUCGCGCGAUUGGAGCGGCCGAUGUCAGAUUAGGUAGUUGGUAGGGUAAAGGCCUACCAAGCCGACGUUCUGUAGCUGGUCUGAGAGGACGACCAGCCACACUGGAACUGAGGCACGGCCCAGACUCCUACGGGAGGCAGCAGUGGGGAAUUUUGGACAAUGGGCGCAAGCCUGAUCCAGCAAUGCCGCGUGCAGGAAGAAGGCCUUCGGGUGGUAAACUGCUUUUGUACGGAACGAAACGGUCUGGGUUAAUACCCUGGGCUAAUGACGGUACCGUAAGAAUAAGCACCGGCUAACUACGUGCCAGCCGCCGCCGUAACAC
rnacentral:rRNA from 1 species